GGGGUGGUACUUUAAAAAAAAGAGUUAGUUUGCAUCUAAUUAUUAGGCUCAGGCCUUCAUUCCU
rnacentral:tRNA from 1 species